rnacentral:rRNA from 1 species
GACGAACGCUGGCGGCGCGCCUAACACAUGCAAGUCGAACGAGCGAGCGAGAGCUUGCUUUCUUGAGCGAGUGGCGAACGGGUGAGUAACGCGUGAGGAAACUGCCUCAAAGAGGGGGACAACAGUUGGAAACGACUGCUAAUACCGCAUAAGCCCACGGUGCCGCAUGGCACAGAGGGAAAAGGAGCAAUCCGCUUUGAGAUGGCCUCGCGUCCGAUUAGCUAGUUGGUGAGGUAACGGCCCACCAAGGCGACGAUCGGUAGCCGGACUGAGAGGUUGACCGGCCACAUUGGGACUGAGACACGGCCCAGACUCGUACGGGAGGGAGCAGUGGGGAAUAUUGCACAAUGGGGGAAACCCUGAUGCAGCGACGCCGCGUGGAGGAAGAAGGUCUUCGGAUUGUAAACUCCUGUUGUUGGGGAAGAUAAUGACGGUACCCAACAAGGAAGUGACGGCUAACUACGUG